GCCCCUGUAGCUCAACGGAUAGAGUAGCCGCGUCCUAAGCGGUUGAUACAGGUUCGACUCCUGUCAGGGGUA
rnacentral:tRNA from 1 species